rnacentral:rRNA from 1 species
UUCUUUUAGAUUUAAAAUUAAAGGUAAAUUCUGCCCUAUGAUAUAUUUUAAAUGGCUGCAGUAUAUUGACUGUGCAAAGGUAGCAUAAUCAUUAGUCAUUUAAUUGUUGACUUGUAUGAAUGAAUAAAUGAGGGAUUAAUUUUUUUUAUAUUAUUUUUAAAAUUUUAUUUUUAAGUAAAAAAGCUUUAAUUUUUUUUUAGGGACGAUAAGACCCUAUAGAACUUUAUUAUAAUAAAUAUAUUUAAUUUUUUAGUUAAAACUAUAUUAUAACAUUUUAUUAUUUUUUUAUUGGGGUGAUAAAUAAAUUUAUAACUUUAUUUUUUUAAUUCAUUAAUUUAUGAUUUUUUUGAUCCAAAAUUUAGAUUAAAAGUUUUAGUUACCUUAGGGAUAACAGCGUAAUUUUAAUGGGGAGUUCAUAUUUAUAUUAAAGUUUGCGACCUCGAUGUUGAAUUAAGAUAAGUUUGGGGGGUAGAUUUUUCAUUACUAAGUCUGUUCGACUUUUAAAUUCUU